AUAACCCCCGGGGGGUGUCGGAAGAACGGCCGGCUGAGAGUGUAUCCCAACAGAUACUGACCCUUAUACCUGAUCUGGGUAAUGCCAGCGUAGGAACGUUUAGCGGAAACGCC
rnacentral:ncRNA from 2 species